CUACUAUAGUCCUCCAUUGUGGUUACUUGUGGCUCUGUCUCUGUGUGUGUGUGUGUGUGUGUGUGUGUGUGUGUGUGUGUGUGUGUGUGUGUUCCCUUCCACGGUGUUGAAGAGUAAGCCUGUCCUUGGUUUUAGAGUCAAUAAGGGCAGCAAUCUUUAUAUUCCUAUAACUUCUCAGUCUCUAGACAGUUACUGAGGAGGAACCAUGCAGGAUGAAACU
rnacentral:snoRNA from 14 species